rnacentral:ncRNA from 1 species
GUAAAAAAUUUAUAAGAAUAUGAUGUUGGUUCAGAUUAAGCGCUAAAUAAGGACAUGACACAUGCGAAUCAUACGUUUAUUAUUGAUAAGAUAAUAAAUAUGUGGUGUAAACGUGAGUAAUUUUAUUAGGAAUUAAUGAACUAUAGAAUAAGCUAAAUACUUAAUAUAUUAUUAAAAAAAAAUAAUUUAUAUAAUAAAAAGGAUAUAUAUAUAAUAUAUAUUUAUCUAUAGUCAAGCCAAUAAUGGUUUAGGUAGUAGGUUUAUUAAGAGUUAAACCUAGCCAACGAUCCAUAAUCGAUAAUGAAAGUUAGAACGAUCACGUUGACUCUGAAAUAUAGUCAAUAUCUAUAAGAUACAGCAGUGAGGAAUAUUGGACAAUGAUCGAAAGAUUGAUCCAGUUACUUAUUAGGAUGAUAUAUAAAAAUAUUUUAUUUUAUUUAUAAAUAUUAAAUAUUUAUAAUAAUAAUAAUAAUAUAUAUAUAUAAAUUGAUUAAAAAUAAAAUCCAUAAAUAAUUAAAAUAAUGAUAUUAAUUACCAUAUAUAUUUUUAUAUGGAUAUAUAUAUUAAUAAUAAAAUUAAUUUAUUAUUAUUAAUAAUAUAUUUUAAUAGUCCUGACUAAUAUUUGUGCCAGCAGUCGCGGUAACACAAAGAGGGCGAGCGUUAAUCAUAAUGGUUUAAAGGAUCCGUAGAAUGAAUUAUAUAUUAUAAUUUAGAGUUAAUAAAAUAUAAUUAAAGAAUUAUAAUAGUAAAGAUGAAAUAAUAAUAAUAAUUAUAAGACUAAUAUAUGUGAAAAUAUUAAUUAAAUAUUAACUGACAUUGAGGGAUUAAAACUAGAGUAGCGAAACGGAUUCGAUACCCGUGUAGUUCUAGUAGUAAACUAUGAAUACAAUUAUUUAUAAUAUAUAUUAUAUAUAAAUAAUAAAUGAAAAUGAAAGUAUUCCACCUGAAGAGUACGUUAGCAAUAAUGAAACUCAAAACAAUAGACGGUUACAGACUUAAGCAGUGGAGCAUGUUAUUUAAUUCGAUAAUCCACGACUAACCUUACCAUAUUUUGAAUAUUAUAAUAAUUAUUAUAAUUAUUAUAUUACAGGCGUUACAUUGUUGUCUUUAGUUCGUGCUGCAAAGUUUUAGAUUAAGUUCAUAAACGAACAAAACUCCAUAUAUAUAAUUUUAAUUAUAUAUAAUUUUAUAUUAUUUAUUAAUAUAAAGAAAGGAAUUAAGACAAAUCAUAAUGAUCCUUAUAAUAUGGGUAAUAGACGUGCUAUAAUAAAAUGAUAAUAAAAUUAUAUAAAAUAUAUUUAAUUAUAUUUAAUUAAUAAUAUAAAACAUUUUAAUUUUUAAUAUAUUUUUUUAUUAUAUAUUAAUAUGAAUUAUAAUCUGAAAUUCGAUUAUAUGAAAAAAGAAUUGCUAGUAAUACGUAAAUUAGUAUGUUACGGUGAAUAUUCUAACUGUUUCGCACUAAUCACUCAUCACGCGUUGAAACAUAUUAUUAUCUUAUUAUUUAUAUAAUAUUUUUUAAUAAUUAUUAAUAUUAUUAAUUUUUAUUUAUUUAUAUCAGAAAUAAUAUGAAUUAAUGCGAAGUUGAAAUACAGUUACCGUAGGGGAACCUGCGGUGGGCUUAUAAAUAUCUUAAAUAUUCUUACA